UACUCCUACGGGAGGCAGAGCAGGGAAUCUUGGGCAAUGGGCGAAAGCCUGACCCAGCGACGCCGCGUGGAGGAAGAAGUCCUUCGGGGCGUAAACUCCUGGACUGGGGGACGAGG
rnacentral:rRNA from 1 species